UGCCAAGCAAAUGGGUGCCACAGAUUAACUUGAUUCCUUCAUAAGGACAAAAUUCUCAUAGAUGAGCAGGAAUCAGGGACAGAGUGUACGUCUUCAUUUUUUCAUAGGAAAAGAAUGAGAUCUCGUCGGGAAGAAGAAGAGAAAACACUUGGUCAAAGAUGUAACAGCCAAUGUGGUUGAGAAAGGAUAUCUGAUAAUAGAGAAGAAAAGAAAUCAAGAAAAUGAAGCUACCAGCACAAAAUCUGAGCUAAAAGGGGGAAACAGAACAUAAACUGAUGAGACAAACGCACGGAACCUGCAAGAACUGUAAAUGAGA
rnacentral:lncRNA from 1 species